GGCGGAGGCGCGCUCAGUGGGCAGAGGUCCAAGGCAAAGCCUUGGGCAGCCGGCUGAGGAGUCAGAUCUGUUCGCGGUAGGCAUCCAGCAGGCGGAGGCUUGCGUGUCGAGACCCCACCAGGGUGAACUUUCUCAUCUUGGUCUUCACACUCUCCAUGGUCCCAUCCAGCUUCUAAGGGUGAAGCCUCCUUUAUGUAUCCCUCCCUCCGCUCUCCUCAGGUAAGAGAAUCAAGACUCAGAAAACCAAGUAGUGCAAGGCAUGGUUUGGAGGCUGCUGCAUGGGCAGGUGCUGACCAGGAGAGAGAGACAAAGGGUAGGAAAGACUAUCUGAGCAAGAAAACCAUGAUAUCAAAAUGUACUACCUGGGGUGCUGGAGAUUUAGCUCAGUGGUUCCGGCACCUGCCUCGUAAGCGCAAAGUCCCGAGUUCGAUCCCCAGUACCCCAAAAAACCCCCCGAAACAAAAUGUACUAUCUGGGAAGCUGGAUGUGGUGGCUUCUGCCUGUAAUCCCAGCACUCAGGAGGCUGAGGCAGGAGGAUUGCCAUGAGUUCAAGGCCAGCAUGGGAUACGUAGUGAGUUCAAAGCCAGGCUGAACUACAAAGCAAGACCCUGUUUCAAGGAAAAAAAAAAAAAAAAAAGAAAACCAAGUAGAAUGCUGGGGAUAUAGCUCCAGUAACAUGAUAGACCACUUUAUUAGCCCUGGGUUCCAGCCUGAGCACCUUAAAAACAAGGGAAAAAAGAAAGGAAAACAAAUAGCUUGCCAAUAAAUGGAAGAAGUUAGGAUUUGAUUUACCAUGGUCUAUAAAUAAAAGUUAUGUACCUUUACAAGCUCCAACAUUCAUAUGACCACUCUGCUGCAUAGAUGAUUUUAUAUUAAAUAUAAUAUCUAAAAAAUGAACAGCUGGGCAUGAUGAACUUUUAUAACCUCAGCUACCGAGAAGGUUGAAGCUGGAGCAUUACCAGUUUGAAACCAGCCCCGGCAGCCCAGUGAGACCUUGUCUCAAAAUGAAAAAUUAAAAAGGACUGGGGAGGUGGCUCAGCACUCCCUGGGUUCACUUGCCUGUAUUGAGGGGAAAGAUGUGUGUGUGUGCAUGUGUGGGUGUUAUUAAAAAUUGAAAAUAUUUCAUUUGCUUAUUAUUUUUUGGACUACUUAGAAAUAAUUGAUUAUGUUCACCAAUGAGUUUGUAUAUGGGCUGUCUUGUAUUAUGUAGUGGAGUUUCAAAAAAGAAUAUGAGGGCCGGGGAUUUAGCUCAGUGGUUUCCCCGCCUGCUGGGCAAGCUCAAGGACCCAAGUUCGAUCCCCGGUACCAAAAAAAAACAAACCAAAAAAGAAUAUGAAAUGUCUUAUUGCUGAUCUCUAUGACAGACUGAAUCAAGGCUAAUUAAAAAAAAUGAUAACAGUAAAGAAAGAUUCCCAUUAAGAAUUUAACAGGAAAAGUUACUCCAUAACUUAAAGUCUUAUUACUGAAAAAAAAUUAGCUUUUCACCUGAAUUCCUCUUUGUUAUUUAAAGGGGGAGCAAUGUGGUAAAACUUGGGCACAGUAAAUUAGUAUCAUUAGUUAUUCU
ensembl:lncRNA